CACCCUGCCAUAGGUGAUAUGAAGCUGCUGUAGACUCAGAAUGGACAGUGAAAGACAACAGUUGCUGCAUCACAAGACAUCCCCUGCCUGCACUGCCCUAUCAUCUGUCCUCUGACCGUCCUCCGGUUACUGUCCACCGUGAUGAAGGAAGAGCGGUCAGGAGCAGCAGGUGUCUUCAUGGCUCCAUCAUUGGGUCUCUGACCUGGAAAACAACAUUAGGAAAGAAAAAAAUAGCAGUUGGUUUCUAGGUGCUCUCAGAUCUCUGAAAGAGAAGUCAACAGUUCUCACAAUGCCGUGAAUGUGGGACUCACAGCUUCUCACUUUGCUGCUCCGAUGGUGCCGUGCAGCAUCAC